rnacentral:rRNA from 1 species
UACGGAGGGGGCUAGCGUUGUUCGGAAUUACUGGGCGUAAAGCGCGCGUAGGCGGAUCUGCAAGUCGGGGGUGAAAUCCCGAGGCUCAACCUCGGAACUGCCUUCGAUACUGCGGGUCUCGAGUCCGGGAGAGGUGAGUGGAAUUCCUAGUGUAGAGGUGAAAUUCGUAGAUAUUAGGAAGAACACCGGUGGCGAAGGCGGUUCUCUGGGCAUUACCUGACGCUGAGGAGCGAAAGUGUGGGGAGCGAACAGG